CAUUAAAGAUUUAAGGUCAGUCAGCACUUUUGGAGUUGAAGAAGAAUACGUUCGAGGACAGCAUGCACAAACUUUAUAUCCCCAAAAGUUUUCCACCGCUCUAUCCAAAUAAAGUCAAAUUAAAUCCGUGCAAACUUGUGAAAACCCUGCGGCUCUCUUUGCUUGAUCACUGAUGCAGAUACAUUGCCCUUUUUCUUUCGUCUCUCUCUUUCUCAUAAGGAAGUUGUUUGCACGCAAAAUAUUUGCUGAAGUUGGAGAACAUCUCACAAAUGUUUUUCCUUUUCUCUAUAUCUUUAUUGGCUUUUCCUUUUUGUUUCGACCAAAAGAUCUAGCUAGGCUUGAAUGUUUU
rnacentral:lncRNA from 1 species